rnacentral:rRNA from 1 species
ACGGGUGAGUAAUACAUCGGAACGUGCCCUGUAGUGGGGGAUAACUAGUCGAAAGAUUAGCUAAUACCGCAUACGACCUGAGGGUGAAAGUGGGGGACCGCAAGGCCUCAUGCUAUAGGAGCGGCCGAUGUCUGAUUAGCUAGUUGGUGGGGUAAAGGCCCACCAAGGCGACGAUCAGUAGCUGGUCUGAGAGGACGAUCAGCCACACUGGGACUGAGACACGGCCCAGACUCCUACGGGAGGCAGCAGUGGGGAAUUUUGGACAAUGGGGGCAACCCUGAUCCAGCAAUGCCGCGUGUGUGAAGAAGGCCUUCGGGUUGUAAAGCACUUUUGUCCGGAAAGAAAUCGCACUUACUAAUAUUAGGUGUGGAUGACGGUACCGGAAGAAUAAGGACCGGCUAACUACGUGCCAGCAGCCGCGGUAAUACGUAGGGUCCAAGCGUUAAUCGGAAUUACUGGGCGUAAAGCGUGCGCAGGCGGUUGUGCAAGACCGAUGUGAAAUCCCCGGGCUUAACCUGGGAAUUGCAUUGGUGACUGCACGGCUAGAGUGUGUCAGAGGGGGGUAGAAUUCCACG